UCCCGAGAAGCACUUUGGUCUCCGAUAGUCCAACAGGCUGGUGAAUUUUGCGUGACCAGUGGAUAUGAUGUCUCGUGUGCUCAUCCCACCACCACCGCCAUCACCCACCCACGGUCAAUGCUAUGGUAAAUCCAAUUUAUCUGAAAGCUCAAGUUUUCCAGUGUCUGGGUUUCAAACAUGAAGGCAUGUGCUGUCCUGUUUUGGUAAUCACCGCAGCCUGCAGCAGCGAAUGGGAUUCAAACCUGCCCAGCUCCCAAACUCCUGACAGUCUAGCAACUUGGAAUGCUGAGUUAAAAUUUUAAAAUGUACACAAAUUUAGCAUUUUCACUGAUUAUAUCAUUGGACCUUAUAAUGGAACACACACUAAUAUGUCUGCUGUGGAGUGAGGUGCAACAGCCAGUCUAACAGAUCUGUGUUUCAGUUAAAGGAAGUGAAAUGCUACAAUUUUAAUUCAGUAGCUGUUCAAAAGUUGAUAACCUAGCACUACAACACCUUAUCCAAGUAAUGAAGGCAUUCAUGUGACAGCACAUGCAGUUAUCAGCAAACUCUGCAGCACAGUUUGAUAGGUUUGUGGUUUUAGAUCACAAUAUUUAACCUGUCCAUUUUAUUAUUAUUCUAAGAAUAAUGUUACUAAACAAAUCAUGACUAUAGAAAUCGAGUCACUAACUGCAUUUUAAACAUUUGUAGAUUUUUUUUAAUUGAAAUACUGUACAGCUUUACAUGACAUCCAAAAUAGCAAACUGACAUUUGCCGAGAGAAACUAAUGAACAAGAGAGGCAAAAAUUAGAAAGUGUAACCAAACAUGUCAGAUCCUUUCAUGUGUUACGUCUCUUUUACAGUCUCUGAGAAAAUCAAAAAAAACAUAAAUUAUGUGAAAGGCCCCCCCCCCAAAAAAAAUGUUUUCUUUAAAAAUUUGCUCAUGUUAAAAGGGUCCAUUAAUAAAAGAAAAAAAAAAAUCAGCAUUCAUCUGGUUAGUGAACAAUCCAUCAGCAGAGCAGCUGAACCCACGCACAGAUGACUGCAUAA